CUCUUCCUGUGUGGAAGCUGGGAUUCCAAUGGCAGGCAGGAAAUCUUGUAGUAGGUGAUCGUGGCCUUCCUUGGGAUCCCUGUUUCCCCCUUUUAUUCCCUUUUCACCCAGUAAAACCCUGCUUUGCUCACUCUUUAAAGCAUCUGUGAGCGUAAAUUUUUGUGGCCAUGGGAUGGACAAGAACCACAUGUUUACCUGAAGUCCUGUGACAUUUUGGUGUGCAGCAUGGGAGCUCCAAAAGUGAUGCCAGAGGAUGCUAUAGAAAAAUGCGUGCCCUCUUGUAAUACUUUGUUCAAGUUCUGAUCAGAAGGAUGAAUGAUGGAGCCCAAGAAGCCAGAUGCAGGCCGCUCCCCAUCUUCUGGCCAUGUUAACACCUUUGGACCUAUGGCUGUUUAUCUCCAUUAGAUUACAUAAAAUGAGUCUCAUUGUGUUGCUCAGGCUGGAAUCCAGUGGCAUGAUCUCGGCUCAGUGCAACCUCCGCCUCCUGGGUUCAAGCAGUUCUCCUAGAUCAGCAUCAGCGUCCCGAGUAGCUGGGAUUACAGGCACCCGCCACCAUGCCUGGCUAAUGUUGGUCAGGCUGGCUCGAACUCCUGACCUCAAGAGAUCCACCUGCUUUGGCCUCCCAAAGUGCUCGGAUUACAGGCAUGAGCUGCCACACCCAGCCUCCAAAUACUUUUUUUUUAAAUCAAAAUAAUGAUUUCAAUGACUGAGAUCUGUUAUGUAUUUCAACAUAAUCAUGUUUCAUAAAGAUUUAGUCUUCUGAAA
rnacentral:lncRNA from 1 species